GAGCCUGUUCGCGGUGGAGAGUGAUAGCUGGGGAGUGGAGAGUGGCGAACCCAAGUGGCGGCUACGGUUUUACGAUCUCUUUCUCCUUAGCCUCGUCUGUCGUCUUCCUUCUACCUCCGUUCCUAAACCGUAAACCCUAGACCUCUCGUGUGUCGAUACGAUUUGCCCAUUCAUGGCAUUCUCUCCGACGGCGUUGUUCUUGAUUACUGAUUGAGAGGUCGGAUUGGUGUUUCCUUUGAUCUGUGAGUGGAGUUUGAGGCAAGGAGAGGGGCGACAUGGUCCAUGGGCACGAAGAACUAGUUCGAUCUCCUCGUUGCUCGCACCUCAUCGUGGCUGCCGAGAAGAAGGCGGCCGCAUCGCCCAAGCCGGCGACCGUCGCUCCGGCCAAACUGGCCACCGCCCGCGCAGGCUGUAAAAGAGACCAGGAACUAUGGGGCUCCAGCUAUUGGGGCAGGACGUGGUAGAUGUAGCUUCUGUGGAGGCAGGAUGGGACCAAGGCGUGAAUUUGGUGAGGGCAAUGGCAAUGGUGUUGAGGGAGGUUAUGGUGGUGGUGGAUUUGGAGAUAGUGGUUUCCCGCGGAGGGAGGAAGGUGAUGGAAAGGCUAUGGGAAGAGGCCAUGGACCACGUCAGCCUUACCGUGGUGGUGGUCGCCGUGGUGGCUAUACUGAUAGUGAGGCUGGUGAUGAGUCUGGUCGCCCCCCUCGCCGGGCCUAUGAGCGCCACAGUGGCACAGGUAGAGGUUAUGGAAUGAAGUGUGAGGUGCGCUGGCCGUGGCAUCUGGGGAAUUGUGACUGAUGAAGCCCUUGCACAAGAAACAGUAGAAACUGAGGGGGCUCCUGCUGUGGCUGAGGCUGAAAACAAGCUGGAAGAAGCACCACAAUCUGAGGUUGAGAAGGGCAAAGAGGGCGAAUCAACUGAAGUGGAGGAGCCUGAAGAUAAGUUCCGAAGCACCACAGAGACCUGCUACACAGCUGUACCACCUGUUGAAGCACAAUUUAAGCAUAAGAACAGGACAAACACUUUUGAUGUACCGCGUCCUGACCCAUCUGGACAUCACACCAUUCACAUCGAACUCCUGCUCUUCAGGGAUUUGAUAUCAAGCAAGCUGAAUUAGCUUCCAUCCUGCCAUCGUCUGGGUUUCAUAGAGAAGUUGUCACAUUAUGAUAUGAAGCGAGUUAAUAGAUGAGGUCCUCCGUGCCGAGUCGGGAGACAAUGAAGAUGUUUAUGAUGUGCAGAAAACAACUACAAAAUCAGAUGAUAUUCUUCCCCAGUCGGCAGGGUAAACAUGGUGACGUUGGCAAGAACAUGCCGACCAACACAAACGUCACUCCUCAAGCAACACCACAUACGGAAUCUUGCUCGCCGAUAUUUGAUGCGACGCCGCAAAUAAAGUCUCCCGGCGGCGUCCAACAGGCGGCAGAAACAGAUCUCCCUGACAAUGGUCCAUGCUUUGAUCAGACUCCAUCUGAACAUGUUUCUGUUGAAACCGAUCCAGCUACAAACACUCCUCAGGUUGACCAGAUUUCACUUGAUUCGGAGAUGCAAACUGUGUUAGCUCUACGCGAAUAUUUGUGUGAUACGCAAUCUGACACUAGCAGUCACUACUCAACUUUGAGGAACAGAAACGACAUAGUCGGAACCCUCAACCUUUUGAUGAAUCUGUACUGUACACUUCUAGACAAUGCAUUGCCCGAGACAGAUGAAAUGGAUAAAUGCAAAGCAGUAACAAUCAUAUUUCAUUUUACAAACAUAAUUUAUUUUAAAUGGUACAUAUCACAUUGUUAUGCUUUGUCAUUUACACUAUUCAUCUUUAUGCUUUUUUUUACACGGUCAGAUCAUGGUUCCCAUGGUAAGCAGGGGGCACUGGACAUUGUAUGUUGUCAAUACAGUCAAGAAGUGCAUUCAUAUUUUAGAUUCCAAUCCAUAUGGGGCAACACUUGGUGGUACUACAUGGAAGGAAUAUCAUUUUGCCCAAUUGGAUUUAGGUGGCAGAAAGUUACCAUGAGUUAAGGUUAUUAUGAGUAGAUUAAAUAAAGCCAUACAACAUGUACGAUCCAUGACAUACUUUCCCAAAUUUGGCAACUUCGCAAUUGACUUGUGCCCAAAUUGUCCUAACAUGACAGCAGGAUCCAAUGAUUGUGGGUUUUAUGUUAUGGGAUAUAUUCUCUUUUAUGACUGUGUUGAAGGAUCUCUGCGGUCAGACAUAGAAGCAGGCAACACUAGUGAGAUACGGUCUCUUGCGUUGCAUUAUAUCACAUUCCAUCCGAAGAACAAAGCAUUAUUGCUGCUUGAAGACAUCAAAAGAUUCAAGGUCAAAUGGAUGCAGUUUAGUUUAGAUAUGUAAUAUAUUGUGUAUACAAUGGUUCCAUAAACUUCAGAUGAGUCAUGUGUGUAUGGGCAAAGACAGGCAGAUGUUUCUUAUGUUAUGUCAAUGACAACUUGGGGAUCAACGAUGUCUAAACUAGAAUAUUGUACCCCAUGUGUUUGAUCUUCAUGUGUGUUUCAUGCAUUUAA